UCCGAUUGAUAAAUAAUGAAUUUUAAACAAUUGUAUUAGUUUAGUCCAUUUUUAAGUUUUAAUUACUGUGCAAACAGAUUUCAAAUAUCAUCGCUAAUUUAGAUAUCGCGUUAUAAAUGAAUAGAGAGACUUAGAACUUGUACUGUUUGAUUAUUAAUCUGUAAAUAAACAUAGACAAUAUUCAUAUUUAUAAAAACAUCGAGAUUAGUAAUUGCAUUUUUACCUGUUUGUGCUUUUUCCCCAUCCUCACUACUUAAAUGAAAAUUUUGUAAUCGUUAUUUUUUUCUGCGUCUAUAAGCGUGAGUUUUUCUAUGGACAUCGCUAUGUUUUUACUGCAACUGCCUCACUUCCAGCCGCAGUAAUGAAAGCAGAACGUGACGACAAAAUCUAUGACGUCACAUGCACGCGAAGGCACUCUAAAGUUUACUGCAACAUAUAUAGGAACAGCAUUUGCAGUACUGCCAGUGAAUAUCGGAACGCACCCUAGCAGAACGAAGAUAUCAUUGUUUAGUUCAACAUGACAAAUAUAAAGGAGGUUACACCCUUUUAUCAUUCUUUAAGCGGUGACACGGAGGAGGACAAGAAACUUUUGGAGCCGUUUAAAUACAUUUUACAAUGUAAUGA